UCUCGCCCUACUUGUCGAGAAGCGACCACCCCUCUGCUUCUCUCUUGAGUCUCAUUCACCCCCUUCUCCCAAAACCCUAACCCCUAGACUUCCCAAUAUGGCGUCGCAUCCCCCAUUAGCCGUCGUGGCAUCCGGAUCGCAGCCGCCACGGAUCCAGUUGGCAGCAUCAGCCCCGCGGUCGUGUCCACCACACUGCCGGUGGUCGUCGUCAAGUUCGAGACGCCGUUCAUGCUCUUGGCCCAACCUGCCGCGACGCUCCAACUGGGUACGCGACGUACUUGUCCAUCUUGGAGAAGCCCCCGCCGUGACCUCUGCCGCACCCUCAACACCCCUCCCCGCGCGUGAUAGGAUCUGGGAGCGGCAAGAGGUCGCCCCCCAUCUUCAGCAACGAGCUCGUACCUUCCCCUUCCUCCCCUCCCCACCACCAUCACACCGCCAAGCGUGCCCACUGCUUACUCGUUUGUUUUUUUACAAGUUCAGAUCCACAAGCAUACUCACAUAGUGAACAUACCCACAUGAUUUUGUUAUGCACAUGUGUAACCAGCAUAAGAAUUAGGAGCAAGCUUUAAUGUUUAUGCUCAUUUUAUCUAUGAAAUUCUUACACUAAAAAUGCAUGUGCUAUUCUUGCUUGAGAAUAACAGAAUCUAUUUAUCUUAUACUUUUUUCAUAGGUUGUUAUUGUCAAACCAAAUUAUGUGCCUAUAUAAGUUGCACUUAUGGAUUAUGCGUUCGAGUAUAAAUUGCACCUGCAUUUUGGUAUGUCGUUGCUUAUUUUGGUAAUUUAUCAUCCUAUUCUUUCUCUUUGUGUUCAUUAUGUGCGCCCUCAUUUCUGCUUCUAUGACCCUGCAUGUUCUCGAUGGUGUUCAAUAAGGAUUUGGUCAUCAGCAAUGAUGUGUUUUAAGUUUCUCUUCUCUUGUAUGUCCACGUGCAUCGACUCAGGUAUCCAUUUCACUUGAUUGUGCUCCUACCUGCUCUUUUUGGCGGAGAUAGGUGCCUUGGAAUGCCAUUACAAAAUGCAUUUCCAUGGUCUUUCCAUGUUCUCAUUUGUUUCAUGCCUACAAGUGCCUUGUCCGUAUACCGUUUCACGCUGAUUUGUUGAGCAACCUGUCUUUGUAUAGCCAGCCAUCUUUCAAUGCGUUGUGAGUGGAUGCUCAUGUCAUUCUCCCAAUUUUCCUUGUUGAAUUUUACCAUGCCCUUGUAUUACAGUUAUUUAUACAUUCCUAUGUCUUGUGACCUGUAAGUAAAGUCUACAUAUGACAAUUUCAGUACAUUAGUUCAUACUAAAAAGAAACGUUUGGACCAUAGAAAGCUUUCUGUUAGCCACAUGUUACCUUUUGGUAGAUCUACUACGUUCUAGUACUCUGAUUUGUCAAACUAACGACAUAGAAUUUAACAGAUUUUAAAGAUCAUGUGAUUGAGCAUUUAAGUUAUUGCCUUUGAAGAAGAUUUAAAUUUUGCGACAACAGCCCCAUCAGAGGCAUGAAUCCUAAAGACCAUGCCAUCAACUCCUGUCGUACUACCGUGUUCUUAUAAAUUGUGUUUUCUCGAUGUAACAUUGCUCUGAUUUAUGUGUACUAACUAACACUAGAUUAUUUUUUAUUCCAAUCUAUUAUAUAUGGUUAUAAAUGUAACAUAAUUAUAUCUGGUAGAUUGGCCUAUAGAUUUAACACUUGACACACGAACUCGGUGAAAAAUAUCUGUCUAUAUGCAUUAUGAGAUGAUAUAGUGACACUUAAGAUAUUUUUAUGGAACUGAAAAUCUAACAUUAUUAUUUAUUCAUCAACUCAUAUGUUACAUGUAUUGAUAAAUCAUUUAUGUUGCUUGCUGAAAUGUUUAUUUAGUAACAUGUGCACCUUGUUUUUGCCAAGGUUUUUUGGUAGGAUCCAUCUUCUAUAUUUGCAUUUUUUGCUUGUAUGUGCAAUCUAUCCAAGUGCGCUGCAACAGCAUACAAUAGGUUGAUGAAUAAAUAUUUCCAUUGUUGCAUCAGUAUAAAGCAUAACAUUGUUCAAACACCUAAAGUAGUUAUAUCUUUGCUCAAUUGUUCCCAUAGCUGUGUGAGUAUGCCGGUGCAGGGGCCAAAAUCUUUUCGCCGCAUAACAACAGUGGCAUUCUUGAUGUAGGGGAUAUCGAGUUAAUGUCUUUCAUUGAAGCAUCAGGUAAAUUUUCAUACCGUGUUGGUAAGAAAACAACAACUCUUUUCUAAGCACAAAUGUUACCUUUUAGCCUGGUCCUUUACUCCUUUUACUAUUUUUUAUUUGUAGUCUGCUCAUUCCUACUUUGUGUUGUAUCACCUAGGAACUUCUGUCUCGUUCAUGCUAGUCUUGUUUCAGAUCUAAAUGUAGACGAAAACUAAGCCUACUGCUACACAACAUAUUGUUCGAGGACUUGGGUUAGUACCUGAUGUUUUAGCAUGUUGCAGCACUGAGCCAUUGGAGGAACAUGUGAAGGCCAAGCUUUCACAAUUUUGCCAUGUCCCAUUAAUGAUAAUGAUCGUCCCAUUACAAGGCCCCUUUUGAGUUUUUACCCUUGUUCUUGUGUUGACAACACAACUUGUGUAGCAGGUCUCAAAUAUAGUGAACCUCCAUGACGUGACAAACAUUUGGCACAUCCCCUUACUGCUAAGGGACCAAAAGGCCGAUGAAGCUAUUCUGGAAGUUUUAGACCGUUGGUAGUAUGUACUUUUGCAUGAUUACAUCAAAUGUUCAUAAUGUAGUUUGAACAUAACUCAAGAAUUUUCAGUAGUAUUUUACUGUAAUAUAAAUUGCAUCACUGGUGUUGUUUCGUGUGUAUCACCAAUAACUAAAAGUAGAGCAACAGUUUUGGAGAAGCUGACAUCAUCAUUAUCUUCUGAUGACCCGUAAACCAUUAUUCCCCAAUCUAGAGUUAUCAUUGCAGUGGAAAAGUCAAUGUGACUACCUUCAAAAGAAGGUAUAUAUUUGCUGUUCGGGUAAACUUUCAGUGCAACAGUAAAAUAAAGGACUAAACCUAAAGUUGUUCUCUUUUUGUGUCACUCCUUUUUGUUUGUAGCAUACUUGUACAUAUUCUUCUUGCAAUGUUAGGAUCUGCAUGGAAAUCUGCAUGAGUGAGUACACCUUUCAUUACCUUGUCAAUUUGUAGAAACUAUUGUUCUCUCACCUGUCAAAUCUAUAUCCCUAAAUAAAAUAUCAGUUCAAAUUAAUCUAGAUCCACCCAACAAUUGACCCUCACUGAGAUGUGUUUUUUUGUGCACCCCAUUUUGUACACAUAAGAAAUCCUUAUCUAUCACAUUGAAUCAUCUAGAUCUCUUCUCCAUUGUUUCUCUCACUCACAUCUAUUAAGGUAUGUAAACAUUCACUUUAGUAAUGCUAACAAAAGAAUAAAAUAACAAUUAGUGUUUUGUAUAUCAAUGUAUUUUGUCAUAUUGAUUUGUAGGUUGUUGAAUGGCUUGAAUAUGUCCCCAUCUUUCUUUUAGGCUUUGAAUUUGAAAAUGCUUGCUUAUUCAUCGAUGGAUUCUUAGCCUCCUAGACCUUUCUGGUUGGUCAUGGCCUCACAAUUGCUGACAUUGUAGUUUGGUCAAAUCUUGCUGGCGAGGAUGGCAUCCCACAUUGGAUGAUGCGACAGGCAGGGCGGUACAUGGCGAAGUACCAGGCAUCGACUAAGGGGAAACCCACAUUCGGCCAUCGGGUUCGGGGAGCUCCCAGCUGCGAGGUUUUGAGAUUUUGACCUCAAGGUCCAAGGAGAUGCUUAUGGCGUCGAUGUCAGACAUCAAGACAACAAAACGGGGCAGCAUGUGGGAACUGGAUCAGAACCUUGAUCAGCCCAAUGACAAGGAUGUCAGUCAACUGAAGGACAUGUACAGAUAAAUGGUCAAGAUGAUUACUCUUGGAGGUUCUUCUGAACUGGACUUGUUGAUUACAUGGACCCAUUUUCAGAAGGUGUUGUUUUCAGUGUGAGGCCUACAAAGAAAAGUUGGAAAACAUUUCCAAUAUAUCUUGUGGUGAGAAGCUACAGCCGAAGCAGUAGCCAGCUGAACAUGUUGACAUGUUAUUGCGGUGGUCAAGGCUCAGGAUUCAGAGCAGAAGAUGCACAUAAAUACUGGUGAAUGAUGCCAUCGACGAUGAUGAAUUGAUGAAACGAUGGAUGAUGCCAUCGAUGAAAGAUGGAAUGGAACUCAAAUUUUGGUGGUCGCACAAGUGUGGAGACAUGAAUUUAUAUAUACUUAGUUAGGCUCAAUGUUAGCACAAAUAGUUGAUGAGCAAGUUUAAAUUUAGAGUACACUUAUGUAUGAGUUAUUUGACAAUGCUUAUUUAUGAGAUAUUGAAUGUUAUUUAUCUAUAUUAUAUUAA